rnacentral:rRNA from 1 species
GUCUACGGCCAUGCCACCCUGAACAAGCCCGAUGUCUGAAAUCGGAAGCUAAGCAGGGUCAGGCCUGGUUCAUGGCCUGGUCAUAUUUGGAUGGGAGACCGCCUAGGACGACCAGGUGCUUUAGGCA